rnacentral:rRNA from 1 species
UACGGGGGGGGUAAGCGUUGUUCGGAAUUACUGGGCGUAAAGGGCUCGUAGGCGGCCAACUAAGUCGGACGUGAAAUCCCUCAGCUUAACUGGGGAACUGCGUCCGAUACUGGAUGGCUUGGAUUUGGGAGAGGGAUGCGGAAUUCCAGGUGUAGCGGUGAAAUGCGUAGAUAUCUGGAGGAACACCGGUGGCGAAGGCGGCAUCCUGGACGAUGACUGACGCUGAGACGCGAAAGCGUGGGGAGCAAACAGG